rnacentral:rRNA from 1 species
GACGAACGCUGGCGGCGUGCCUAAUACAUGCAAGUUGAGCGCUGAAGGUUGGUACUUUUACCAACUGGAUGAGCAGCUAACGGGUGAGUAACGCGUGGGUAAUCUGCCUUUUUUCGGUGGACAACAUUUGGAAACGAAUGCUAAUACCGCAUAAAAACUUUAAACACUAGUUUUAAGUUUGAAAGAUGCAAUUGCAUCACUCAAAGAUGAUCCCGCGUUGUAUUAGGUAGUUGGUGAGGUAAAGGCUCACCAAGGCGGUGAUACAUAGCCGACCUGAGAGGGAGAUCGGCCAAAUUGGGAAUGAGACACGGCCCAAACUCCUACGGGAGGCAGCAGGAGGGAAACAUCGGCAAUGGACGAAAGUCUGAACGAGCAAAGCCGCGGGAGGGAAGAAGGGUUUCGGAUCGUAAAACUCUGUUGGUAGAGAAGAAAGUGGGGGAGAGUGGAAAGCUCAUGAAGUGACGGUAACUACACAGAAAGGGACGGCUAACUACGUG